CAAAAUGACUCUCGACAACGGAUAUCUCGGCUCUUGCAUCGAUGAAGAACGUAGCAAAAUGCGAUACGUGGUGUGAAUUGCAUAAUCCCGUGAACCAUCCAGUUUUUGAACGCAAGUUGCGCCCAAAGCCUUUUGGUUGAGGGCACAUCUGCCUGGAU
rnacentral:rRNA from 1 species